rnacentral:tRNA from 1 species
GUUCUUGUAGCUUAAAAAAAGCAUGGCGCUGAAGACGCCAAGAUGGAUGACCACUACACCCAAGAACA